rnacentral:rRNA from 1 species
UACGGGGGGAGCAAGCGUUGUUCGGAUUUACUGGGCGUAAAGGGCGCGUAGGCGGUCAGCACAAGUCAGUUGUGAAAUCUCCGGGCUUAACUCGGAAAGGUCAACUGAUACUGUGCGACUAGAGUGCGGAAGGGGCAACUGGAAUUCUCGGUGUAGCGGUGAAAUGCGUAGAUAUCAGGAGGAACACCAAUAGCGAAGGCAGCUCGCUGGGACGUUACUGACACUGAGGCGCGAAAGCGUGGGGAGCGAACAGG